rnacentral:rRNA from 1 species
UGGGGAAUAUUGCACAAUGGGCGCAAGCCUGAUGCAGCCAUGCCGCGUGUAUGAAGAAGGCCUUCGGGUUGUAAAGUACUUUCAGCGGGGAGGAAGGGAGUAAAGUUAAUACCUUUACUCAUUGACGUUACCCGCAGAAGAAGCACCGGCUAACUCCGUGCCAGCAGCCGCGGUAAUACGGAGGGUGCAAGCAUUAAUCGGAAUUACUGGGCGUAAAGCGCACGCAGGCGGUUUGUUAAGUCAGAUGUGAAAUCCCCGGGCUCAACCUGGGAACUGCAUCGGAUACUGGCAAGCUUGAGUCUCGUAGAUGGGGGUAGAAUUCCAGGUGUAGCGGUGAAAUGCGUAGAGAUCUGGAGGAAUACCGGUGGCGAAGGCGGCCCCCUGGACGAAGACUGACGGUCAGGUGCGAAAGCGUGGGGAGCAAACAGG